rnacentral:rRNA from 1 species
CCUACGGGGGGCAGCAAUUAGGAAUCUUGCGCAAUGGGCGAAAGCCUGACGCAGCGACGUCGCGUGACUGAUGAAGUCUUUCGGGAUGUAAAAGUCUUUUCUGAGGGAAGAAGGAUGUGACGGUACCUCAGGAAUAAGCCCCGGCUAACUACGUGCCAGCAGCCGCGGUAAUACGUAGGGGGCGAGCGUUGUCCGAAUUCACUGGGCGUAAAGCGCGCGUAGGCGGACUUUUAAGUUGGGGGUGAAAUGCCGGAGCUCAACUCCGGAACUGCCUCCAAAACUGGAAGUCUUGAGGUUUGGAGAGGGAAUUGGAAUUCCAGGUGUAGCGGUGAAAUGCGUAGAUAUCUGGAGGAACACCGAUGGCGAAGGCAGAUUCCUGGCCAUAUCCUGACGCUGAGGUGCGAAAGCUAGGGGAGCGAACG